ensembl:lncRNA
CACACACACACACACACACACACACACACACACACACACACAUACUGGCAUAUGUGGUUUAUGAGGUCAUUGUGACUUUUUGAUGGUUUACGGGGACACACCUUUCCCAACAUCCAAUCGACAUGAAAGUCGUGUCAAAAAAUUUCAUUUGAUCUACAAAAGACAAAUCAUGCUUCAAAAAAACAAUUUCACUUUCAUAACACACAGAUAUUAAAUAUGUGACAUUUCACAGGCUUGCGGGGUCGGGCCAAAUUGUGGUUUAUGAGGACACCUGGUUUAUGAGGCCACUUUUACACACAACACACAAACCUAGCCUCAAUCCUGGGUUAAGGGGACUGACGAACAUUAGUAACAUUAGUUUGCUCUGCUACUGAAAGAAGGGUCUUCAUGACAAUAGCACAGCUCCUGGCUUUCCCCAACUAAACUCCUGCAUAAACCAGUUCAAUUAUAAAAAAAAAAAAAAAAUCAAUUUCACAAGUCAUUUGUAGCCUAAUUAUGCAGUAAAAUAUUAUAUAUGAUCUGGGAUUAUUAAAAGAAACUGUACCUUUGAAGAACAAUGUAAAUGCUUGGAAAUAUUUAACAUCUUUAAUUCCAUUCAUUAUUUGUAGCGUGCCUGCCGUCCAAUAAUCACACUUAAGUUUUGUGUUUUGUUACUUUUAAUCAGAAAUAAAGUAUCAGCUUUCAAAUUCUAUCAGUUUUAUCACAAAAUUCAAAAAUGUUUUUUUUUUUUUUUUCCAGCCACAGAGAGACGUCAGCAAAACAGUGUCACAUAAAGCUUCAUUUUUAAUGUUUGUUUUAAGAAAUUGGUCAUGGGAAUGAGCAAGGAGACAUGCGGAAUGCAGACUUGUUAGAAAAUGUGUACUCAAUGAAAUCAUGAUGUGGGGUGGCUUAUCUUGUUACAAUGUCUUGAGCAGUUCAGUUCUAUAUUGGUAGUUGUAGCCAUUGCAGUGUGAAUGUCAUCGCGUGUCAGCAUGGACACCCAUUGUCUACACCAGGCAUAGUUCUGCCUCGUUGUAGUUUUAGUUGAUGCAACAGGUGUAAAUAUUUAUUGUAAAGUUGGACGUUGCAAAGUCUGAGAUCUUUUCGUUUUAACUAAUUUAAUGUAUUCUAUUUAAAAGUGUAAGUCACUUAUUGCAACUAUUCAUUGAUUAAAUUAAUACAAUCAAUGUCAAAUCUGCAAUUGUGCUGAUAUUCAAGAAACAACACUACUGGUAGUCUCAUGUUGCUUAACUAGGCUAUAUCAAACUAUUAAUGUAAAAACUCAAUUUUUAAUGCAGUGUUUGUUGUAUAUAUUUCUCAGAACAAAUGGUGUGACUGUUACCUGUUACUGUCACAUUAUUCAUGAUCAACUGAGGCAGUUCAGGUGUUUUUUUUUUUUGUUUUUUUUUUUACAUUGCUGAUUGCUUUUUUCUUGAUGCUUAACAA